rnacentral:rRNA from 1 species
GACGGAGGGGGCUAGCGUUGUUCGGAAUGACUGGGCGUAAAGGGCGCGUAGGCGGCUUUUUAAGUGAGGCGUGAAAGCCCUGGGCUUAACCCAGGAGGUGCGUUUCAGACUGAAAGGCUUGAGUGCGAGAGAGGAAAGUGGAAUUCCUAGUGUAGAGGUGAAAUUCGUAGAUAUUAGGAAGAACACCCGUGGCGAAGGCGGCAAACUGGAUAGGCACUGACACUCAACAACGAAAGCGUGGGGAGCAAACAGG